UCAAAUCCUAACAGUGCCACAGGUUUCUACUUCAGGAUGUGCCUCAGCUAUAUCUCCACCAGCAGUUGUUCAAGAAGCAGGCUCCAACCUUCAUUGUCCAACAGACCGAAAGCACCACAUCCUUUCACCAAACCAAGAGACCAACACUACAGAACCUAAAACACCAUAACCAAACAUGAAAAACUCAGAAACAACAGCAGAAAGUACCCAAAACACUGCAGCUACAGAGUCAAUAAGCAAGCCAAAAACACUUCUCCCUAGUCACCCUAUGAUCACAAGAGCCAAGUCUGGGAUAUAUAAACCCAAAAUUUACAUAGCAAAAAGAUUAGCAAGAGAGAAAAUUGACACUCCAGCAAGUGUAGAAGACGCAUUGAAAAAUAAAAAAAUGGGAGACAACCAUGAGGGAAGAGUUUGAAGCACUUCAGAAAAACAGAACCUGGGAAUUGGUUCCACCCUCUCGAGAUCAAAAGGUAGUAGGAAAUAAAUGGGUUUACAAGGUGAAGUAUAAUCCAGAUAGCAUUGUGGCAAGGUAUAAAGUGAGACUUGUGGCUAAAGGGUUUCAUCAAACAGCGGGCAUCAAUUUUAACGAAACCUUCAGUCUAGUGGCCAAAUCACCAACUAUCAUAAUUGUGUUGAACCUAGCUGUUAUGAACAACUGGGAUAUCAAACAAGUGGACAUGAAUAAUGCAUUCUUGCAUGGUGAACUAUGUGAAGAAGUUUUUAUAAGUCAACCGAAAGGCUUCGAGGACAAAAGAAAGCCACAAUAUAUUUGCAAGUUAAAAAAGGCACUCUAUGGCCUCAAACAGACUCCAAGGGCCUGGUAUAAUAAGCUCAGUUUAGCCCUUAAAGACUGGGGGUUCAAAAACUCAAUAUCAGACACCUCACUAUCUUUUUAUGAACAAAGAUGGAGAUACAGUGCUGCUACUUGUGUAUGUAGAUGACAUACUACUCACAAGAAGUAAUAGUAGGAUAAUUGACGAUGUGAUUCAGAAGCUGAAUAAAAGCUUCUCUCUGAAGGAUCUUGGCUCACUAAAAUACUUCUUGGGAAUUGAAGUAGAAAGGAUUGCCGAGGGAAUGCAUCUAUCGCAAGGGAAAUACAUCACUGACCUCCUAAAACGAACAGGAAUGGAAAAUUACAAAAGCCUGCCUACACCAAUGAGCACAAGUACCAAGUUGAGAAAGGAAUGAGGGAAAGCCUUCAGUGACAAUAUCUUGUACAUGAGUGUAAUUGGAGGCAUACAAUAUGCUACCUUAACAAGGCCUGAAAUAACAUAUGCAGUGAACACGCUAAGUCAAUAUUUAGAAGCACCUAAACAAACUCACUGGGAGGGGUGUAAGAGAAUUCUCAGAUACUUGAAAGGAACCUUAAAUUAUGGCCUACACUUCACACCAAAAGGAAAACCAGGACUGAUGUGUUUCACUGAUACAGAUUGGGCCAGUGAUCAAGAUGACAGACGGUCUACUGGUGGUUACUGCACCUUCCUUGGUGGUAAUCUAGUCUCAUGGAGAUCGAAAAAAUAGAAGGUGGUGGCACGCUCUAGCACUGAAUCAGAAUAUAGGUCCCUU
rnacentral:lncRNA from 1 species